GUAUAAUUAAAGUUGUUUCAGUUUAAAAAGCUCCGUAUUGGAUUUUCGGAAGGUCUUUUAACAGUUCCCGCCCCUUCGGGGAGCGGGUUUGCUUGGCCGUCCUAUGUUUCCUAACGGUCCUCAUCCGCGAGGGGUGGGGAAUCAACCGCUAGGAUCGUUUACUUUGAGGAAAUUAGAGUGUUCAAAAGCAGGCGUAACUCGCCUCCGAAUACGUUAGCAUGGGAUAAUGGAAUACGACUUCGGUCUUGUUUCGUUGGUUUCGCUUGGCUGAAGUAAUGAUUGAUAGGGACAGUUGGGGGCAUUAGUAUUUAGUUGUCAGAGGUGAAAUUCUAGGAUUUACUAAAGACUGACCAAUGCGAAAGCAUUUGCCAAGGAUGUUUUCAUUAAUCAAGAACGAAAGUAGGGGGAUCGAAGACGAUCAGAUACCGUCGUAGUCUCUACCGUAAACUAUGCCGACCAGGGAUCCGGAGAGUUUGCAUGGAUGACUCCCCGGGCACCUUGUGAGAAAUCAUAAGUGUUUGGGUUUUGGGGGGAGUAUGGUCGCAAGGCUGAAACUUAAAGGAAUUGACGGAAGGGCACCACCAGGAGUGGAACCUGCGGCUUAAUUUGACUCAACACGGGGAAACUUACGAGGUCAGGACACUGUGAGGAUUGACAGAUUGAAAGCUCUUUCUUGAUUCAGUGGGUGGUGGUGCAUGGCCGUCUUAGUUGGUGGAGUGAUUGUCUG
rnacentral:rRNA from 1 species